rnacentral:rRNA from 1 species
GAUGAACGCUGGCGGCGUGCUUAACACAUGCAAGUCGAACGAAGCACUUUAUUUGAUUUCCUUCUGGACUGAUUAUUUUGUGACUGAGUGGCGGACGGUUUCGUAACGCUUGGGUAACCUGCCUUGUACAGGGGGAUAACAGUUGGCAACGGCUGCUAAUACCGCAUAAGCUCACAGCAUCCCAUGAUGCAGUGUGAAUAACUCCGGUGGCAUAAGAUGGACCCGCGUUGGAUUAGCUAGUUGGUGAGGUAACGGCCCACAAAGGCGACGAUCCAUAGCCGACCUGAGAGGGGGACCGGCAACAUUGGGACUGAGACACGGCCCAAACUCCUAAGGGAGGCAGCAGUGGGGAAUAUUGCACAAUGGGCGAAAGCCUGAUGCAGCGACGCCGCGUGAGCGAAGAAGUAUGUCGGUAUGUAAAGCUCUAUCAGCAGGGAAGAUAAUGACGGUACCUGACGAAGAAGCACAGGCUAAAUACGUG